rnacentral:tRNA from 1 species
GGCAGCGUGGCUUAAUGGACAGAGCAUUGGCCUGGGAGUCACAGGUACCUGGGUUCUAUCCCUGACUCUGCCA